ensembl:snRNA
GGAUGCAAUGGGAGACCAGGUUAGCAACUCCCGUGAUAAAAAUGGAAGAGGUCCUAGUGGCUUUUAUAGCACAUACAUAGUUAAGGCAUUGCCACCUACUCUGUGGCAUCUAAUUGGCUACUAGG